GCGAGAAAACUUUGCAAUGUGCGAAAGCACGACAAGGUUAAUCCGAGUGGUUUCUGCUAAAGAAACCUUUUGUCAGUCCUAGAAACACUAACGAAUAAGGGUGGGCAAGUUCUGGUGUCAGCCGCCGCGGUAAAACCAGCACCUCAAGUGGUCAGGAUGAUUAUUGGGCCUAAAGCAUCCGUAGCUCGUUUUGUAAGUUUUCGGUUAAAUCCAUACGCUUAACGUAUGGGCUGCCGGGAAUACUGCAUAACUAGGAAGUGGGAGAGGUAGACGGUACUCGGUAGGAAGGGGUAAAAUCCUUUGAUCUAUUGAUGACCACCUGUGGCGAAGGCGGUCUACCAGAACACGUUCAACGGUGAGGGAUGAAAGCUGGGGGAGCAAACCGGAUUAGAUACCCACGUAGUCCCUGAGCGGGCUGGCAAGGCGCAU
rnacentral:rRNA from 1 species